ensembl:lncRNA
UCUGACAGGGGUGUGACUGACUGUCAUUCACUUUCACGUGGCUGCCAGAAAACAACAUUUCAUUUGAUUUUAAUUAGUUGUAUUCACGGCCCUCAAUCCCAUAAAAUAAGCGUAACUACCACCACCUUGUGUACAAACAUCUCCCUGCAGAGCGCGUGAGGAUCAGCCGGGAUAGAAACAUGACACCUAACAGCGUUAGCAGACCGCCGAGAGUGUGGAUGCUUCAGAGAUAUUCCUGCUCGCCCCCAACCCCGACAUAUCAACCUGGAAGACCAUUAAAGCCUAACCAUGUGAAUACCACCUAUUCAUCGCAAACUCAUUGUUCACAGCAAGGUAAGUGAGGAAACCUUUAGACUGUAAUCACAAGCGAAGCUGAUUUCCAAAUGCAAAAGACGGAGAAAUUGGAAAAGCGAAUGUUGA